ACUUAUAUAGUAUAUUAAUUACAUUUAACUUCCAAUUAAAAAAAUUAUUUUUAAAAAAUAAUAUAAGUA
rnacentral:tRNA from 1 species